GACGAACGCUGGCGGCGUGCUUAACACAUGCAAGUCGAACGCUGAAGCUCAGCUUUUGUUGGGUGGAUGAGUGGCGAACGGGUGAGUAACACGUGAGUAACCUGCCCCCUUCUUUGGGAUAACGCCCGGAAACGGGUGCUAAUACUGGAUAUUCACUGGUCUUCGCAUGGGGGUUGGUGGAAAGGGUUUUUCUGGUGGGGGAUGGGCUCGCGGCCUAUCAGCUUGUUGGUGGGGUGAUGGCCUACCAAGGCUUUGACGGGUAGCCGGCCUGAGAGGGUGACCGGUCACAUUGGGACUGAGAUACGGCCCAGACUCCGACGGGAGGCAGCAGUGGGGAAUAUUGCACAAUGGGCGCAAGCCUGAUGCAGCGACGCCGCGUGAGGGAUGGAGGCCGUCGGGUUGUGAACCUCUUUCGCUCAUGGUCAAGCCGCAACAAUGGUUGUGGUGAGGGUAGUGGGUAAAGAAGCGCCGGCUAACUACGUG
rnacentral:rRNA from 1 species